GUGGUGUAGUGGUGUAGUGGUGCAGUGGUGCAGUGUAGUGGUGCAGUGGUGUAGUGGUGCGGUGUAGUGGUUCAGUGGUGUAGUGGUGCAGUGGUGUGGUGUGGUGUAGUGGUGCAGUGGUGUAGUGGUGCAGUGGUGCAAUGGUGUGGUGUAGUGGUGCGGUGCAGUGUAGUGGUGUAGUGGUGCAGUGGUGUAGUGGUGCGGUGUAGUGUAGUGGUGUAGUGGUGUAGUGGUGCAGUGUAGUGGUUCAGUGGUGCAGUGUAGUGGUGCGGUGUAGUGGUGCGUGUGUAGUGGUUCAGUGGUGUAGUGGUGCGGUGUAGUGGUGCAGUGUAGUGGUGCAGUGUAGUGGUGC
ensembl:lncRNA